UGACAUAUCCUACUUGGUUUAGUUAUGAUAACUCAGUCAGCAAUUCAUUUACUUAUGCACUCAUUUAUUCACCUAAUGUCUAUUGAUUAUUUAGAAUGCACCAGGCACUUGAUCCAGCUGUCCAGAAUACAAGAUAUACUCCUGAAGUCUGACUUUCAUUCAUUAACAACCACAUGGAUGAAGAAAGCAUAAAAAAAGAAACCAUUAAAAGAUAGCUGGAUUAUAACCUAGCUCCCAUUUGCACAGAGAGCUGUGGAAGUCAGCAGGAAGUGGAGGAUCACAUCUCACCCUGCAAGUGCGAGCUAUGCAGAGUGCUGUUCUGCUGAGGAAUGCGUAUGGAAAGGUGAGGAAAGCAACCACACAGCGGAUAAAGUUGAGAAACACUACCUCAGCCCUGUGGCCAAGGUCAGCAUCAACAGCGACACAUUAUGUUGGUGGUAUAUACUCACAUGAUGUGGUCAUGUGAUGUGGUGAUGAGAAGAGCAUUUCCUCCUCAAAGCCCAUAACCCCAUUCUAAUAAUGAGAAAACUAUCAGCAAACCCCAAAUUGAGGCACAGAGUGCAAAGUGCCUGGCCGGUACUCCUCAGAACUGUCAAGGUCACCAAAAACAUGGACAGACCCAGCAACUGCCACAGCCCAGAGGAGCCUAAGACGAGAUGAAUAAAUGUCAUAUAGUCUCCUGAAUACCAUCCAUGAGCAGAAAAAGGACAUUGGGUGAAAACCAAGGACAUCUGAAUAAGAAUCAGCAAUGGUGACUUCGAAGUCAUCAUGAGAUGGAUGGCAGGAUGCAAAAUUGCUCAAACAGCAGUGGAGAAAUGCUCUCUGUACCUUCAGAAUGGGAAGUUUUUGUCGACUAGCUUUCUGUUUGUUUAUUUCAAUAAGUUGAAUCAUGAAAACUAUUCCUAAAAAGAAAAGAAAAAUCAUUAGGACACUUGGAAGCCACUCUCUAAAGCCAUGGGUAUGGCAAUGGAACUUCAAGAACAGGAGCAACCAGAAGGGUCCUUAGAAGCUACAGACACAAUGGCCCACUUAUAUACAAGGUUUUGAAGAGCUCCUGAGAGAAAUGCACGGAAAAGCCAACAGUGGUAGGUACGUGAUGGCAAUAGCUACUGCCUUUAAUCCCAAGAAGGAAGAUCAUAAGAGCACACAGCUUAAGCAUACGAGUAUCUCUAGUUAUCAACAUUAUAUCCCCAUGUAAAAUAUUAUGUGAUACAGAGUCGAAUUGCAUAUUGAAUUCUUUUGAGUAAGGAGGAAGAAAUCUCUUUUGGGAGAUCCAGUAAGACUUUUCUACCACUGCUCUUUGGGAAG
rnacentral:lncRNA from 10 species